UUUCGUCGGUUCGUGCAAGAGAGGUUCGUGUGAGGCUGUUCCGCGGUGAAAGACAGAGAAGGUUCGGUCAUUCGUGAAAGAGAGAAGAUUAAUUUUUUUUUUUGGAGAUCAGAUCUGAGCCGUUUAUUUAAUCCGACGGCUGUGAAGCAUGUCCUCAUUAAUGCAUGAAAUCCUAUUAAUAGCAACGUUCACAAGCUUUUUUAGAGUCGGCAACUUCUCUGUGCAGCAACCCUUGAUCUCCAAGUUCAGUACAUUUGAGGACCAAAUGAAGCUUCCCUUGGCACCUAAGCUUGUUGCUCUGCUCGUCAUUUUGGCAUUGAUGUUUUCCUUAGUUACUGCCAUUGGUGGCGGUGGUGGAGGCAGAGGAGGUGGCCGUGGUGGAGGCAGAGGAGGUGGCGGUGGAGGCAGAGGUGGCGGCGGUGGAGGUAGAGGUGGUGGUGGUAGCAGAGAUAAAGGUGGAAGAAGAACAAGCCCAGGAGGUAGAACUUGCUAUUAUUCUGGUUGUACAGUCCUGCCUGCAGGUGCAGCCGGAGGUCAUCAUCGCAAUGCAUCUUCCCCGUCCUAUCCGUUGCUUUGCUCCAGCCUCUGUAUGGCAUUCCUUUUGUUAUUGCUUCAUGCCAUGCUUCAAAGUUGAUUUCUCUCCUAGAAGAUGAAACCGCUAGAGUAGAAGACAGGUUUUGUUCCACAUAUAGGUACAUUAACACAAAUUGAAAUGAAGAACAGCAAAACAAGCGGCGUGAAUCGAGUUGAGAGGAAGCUCAAGAUCUUGGCCCCGGAAGCCUCUGCUGUGCAUCUGCAAUGGCGUCUCCAACACCAGCAUGAAUUGCACCUGUG